AGAGUUUGAUCCUGGCUCAGAAUCAACGCUGGCGGCGUGCCUCAGACAUGCAAGUCGAACGAUUAAAGCUCUCUUCGGAGAGUGUAUAGAGUGGCGCACGGGUGAGUAACACGUAAGUAAUCUACCUUCGAGUGGGGAAUAACCCGGGGAAACCCGAGCUAAUACCGCAUAAUGCAGCGGCAUCGCAAGAUGACAGUUGCUAAAGGAAUUUAUUUCGCUUGAAGAGGAGCUUGCGGCAGAUUAGCUUGUUGGUAAGGUAACGGCUUACCAAGGCUACGAUCUGUAUCCGGUCUAAGAGGACGGUCGGACACACUGACACUGAAUAACGGGUCAGACUCCUACGGGAGGCAGCAGUCGGGAAUUUUGGGCAAUGGGCGAAAGCCUGACCCAGCAACGCCGCGUGAAGGAUGAAGUAUUUCGGUAUGUAAACUUCGAAAGAAUAGGAAGAAUAAAUGACGGUACUAUUUAUAAGCUCCGGCUAACUACGUGCCAGCCGCCGCGGUAUUAAUC
rnacentral:rRNA from 1 species